rnacentral:lncRNA from 1 species
CCAGAUCACUCAAUAACAUCAUAAUACACCACUUUAACCAAUCAAUUACAACAAAUAACAUCAGAUCAAAGGAUUUCUAAGUUAGGGUUUUUACCACUUUUUGAGCUUUGAUUUUUGAUUCUGACUUCUUUGAUUCUGUUCUUGAUAAUCGUGGGGCUGAUUUUAGUGACUGAAAUGAUAUAAGAAUUCGUGGGUUUGAGAGAAAAAAAAAUUGGUGAGAGCAAGAGAGAAAAGUGAGCAACUUUGGUACACUUUUCUCUCUCUUAAUCAAUAUGUAAUGUGAUAUAAUGUUGCUUGAUCUGAUUUGCUGUCAAUUAUAGAGCUCAUAGGACAAAUCUAGGGUGAUUGGCCGGAUUUUGUGGAGAUGGCUAGCAAUAAUGCACAAAUAAUUCACCAAUAAUGCACUAAUGGGACAAAAAGGACAUUUUGGUAAUUUCACUUAUAGUUUCAAGGGCAUUCUAGACAUUAGCUACAACCCUUAGGGUUUGACCAUUAGG